CCUUUUUAAGAUAUUUCUUGGUGGUUUCCAAGUGGUUUGAGGUUUAUAAAAGCUUGAAGAGAUUGUUUUCGCCGAAAAGUUGCUCGGAUAAGCAUAUCAACACCUAAGACAUCACUUGUUACACGGUGAAAUAUAUUUUGGACAAAAGGUAGAGAAAGAAAUGUGUGAAUGACAUGAGGAGAACUGAAGCAUGGUCCUGACCCUGAUUUGUACAUAUGAACAUAUCGACCUUUGUGGGUUAUUUCAGUUUAUCAAUGUGAUAUUUGUAAUAAAGUGUGAAGUUAUGUUUUGAAAACAAAUUGGGUUAUUUAAUACUUAUGUAUAAUAUGUUUGAGACA